GACGAACGCUGGCGGCGUGCCUAAUAUAUGCAAGUCGAGCGGAUGAUGGAGGAGCUUGCUCCUCCUGAUUCAGCGGCGGACGGGUGAGUAACACGUGGGCAACCUGCCCUGUAGAUUGGGAUAACCCCGGGAAACCGGGGCUAAUACCGAAUAACCCACCGGACCUCAUGGUCUGGUGUUGAAAGACGCCAUCUCGCUGUCACUACAGGAUGGGCCCGCGGCGCAUUAGCUAGUUGGUGAGGUAACGGCUCACCAAGGCCACGAUGCGUAGCCGACGUGCGAGGGGGCGCAGCCACACUGGGACUGAGACACGGCCCAGACUCCUACGGGAGGCAGCAGUAGGGAAUCUUACACAAUGGACGAAAGUCUGAUGGAGCAACGCCGCGUGAGUGAAGAAGGUUCUCGGAUCGUAAAACUCUGUUGUGAGGGAAGAACAAGUACCGGAGUAACUGCCGGUACCUUGACGGUACCUCAUUAGAGUGCCACGGCUAACUACGUGCCAGCCGCCGCGGUAAGAC
rnacentral:rRNA from 1 species